AGUCGACGGAGAUAUUCGCUGAUGAAGUACUUCGGUAAUGAAUCUUGGAUAUCUUAGUGGCGGACGGGUGAGUAACGCGUGAGCAACCUGCCUUUCAGAGGGGGAUAACGUUUGGAAACGAACGCUAAUACCGCAUGACAUUAUCUUAUCGCAUGGUAGGAUAAUCAAAGGAGCAAUCCGCUGAAAGAUGGGCUCGCGUCCGAUUAGGUAGUUGGUGGGGUAACGGCCCACCAAGCCGACGAUCGGUAGCCGGACUGAGAGGUUGGACGGCCACAUUGGGACUGAGACACGGCCCAGACUCCUACGGGAGGCAGCAGUAAGGGAUAUUGGUCAAUGGGGGAAACCCUGAACCAGCAACGCCGCGUGAGGGAAGACGGUUUUCGGAUUGUAAACCUCUGUCCUCUGUGAAGAUGAUGACGGUAGCAGAGGAGGAAGCUCCGGCUAACUACGUGCCAGCAGCCGCGGUAAUACGUAGGGAGCGAGCGUUGUCCGGAUUUACUGGGUGUAAAGGGUGCGUAGGCGGCUUGGCAAGUCAGUAGUGAAAUCCAUGGGCUUAACCCAUGAACUGCUAUUGAAACUGUCGAGCUUGAGUGAAGUAGAGGUAGGCGGAAUUCCCGGUGUAGCGGUGAAAUGCGUAGAGAUCGGGAGGAACACCAGUGGCGAAGGCGGCCUACUGGGCUUUAACUGACGCUGAGGCACGAAAGCGUGGGUAGCAAACAGGAUUAGAUACCCUGGUAGUCCACGCUGUAAACGAUGAUUACUAGGUGUGGGUGGACUGACCCCAUCCGUGCCGGAGUUAACACAAUAAGUAAUCCACCUGGGGAGUACGGCCGCAAGGCUGAAACUCAAAGGAAUUGACGGGGGCCCGCACAAGCAGUGGAGUAUGUGGAUUAAUUCGAUGCAACGCGAAGAACCUUACCAGGUCUU
rnacentral:rRNA from 1 species